rnacentral:rRNA from 1 species
GAUUGUGGCCAAAUCUCAUUGUCAAAGCCUGAUCUCAUCACAUCUCAGAACCUGAGCAGGGCCGGGCCUGGUUAGUGGUUGGAUGGGAGACUGCUGGGAAUAUCAGGUGCUACAAUGG